rnacentral:rRNA from 1 species
UACGUAGGGUGCGAGCGUUAAUCGGAAUUACUGGGCGUAAAGUGUGCGCAGGCGGCCGAGCAAGUCGAGUGUGAAAGCCCCGAGCUUAACUUGGGAACUGCGCUCGAAACUACUUAGCUAGAGUGUGGCAGAGGGAGGUGGAAUUCCACGUGUAGCGGUGAAAUGCGUAGAGAUGUGGAGGAACACCGAUGGCGAAGGCAGCCUCCUGGGCCAACACUGACGCUCAUGCACGAAAGCGUGGGGAGCAAACAGG